rnacentral:rRNA from 1 species
GACGAGCGCUGGCGGCGUGCUUAACACAUGCAAGUCGAGCGGUAAGGCCCUUUCGGGGGUACACGAGCGGCGAACGGGUGAGUAACACGUGGGUGACCUGCCCUUAGCUCUGGGAUAAGCCUGGGAAACUGGGUCUAAUACCGGAUAUGACUCCAUGACGCAUGUUGUGGGGUGGAAAGCCUUGUGCGGCUAGGGAUGGGCCUGCGGCCUAUCAGCUUGUUGGUGGGGUGANGGCCUACCAAGGCGACGACGGGUAGCCGGCCUGAGAGGGCGACCGGCCACACUGGGACUGAGACACGGCCCAGACUCCUACGGGAGGCAGCAGUGGGGAAUCUUGCGCAAUGGGCGAAAGCCUGACGCAGCGACGCCGCGUGGGGAUGACGGCCUCGG